GGCCUGAGGCAAUGGUUGGCUUAUGAAUCGUGUCAGGUUCGAGAGAAAGCAGCACUAAGUAGGUUCAAUCAUGUGCCUUUUGAUAUAA
rnacentral:SRP_RNA from 1 species